rnacentral:rRNA from 1 species
AACUAACAGGGAUUGCUCUAGUAACGGCGAGUGAAGCAGCAAUAGCUCAAAUUUGAAAUCUGGCGUCUUCGACGUCCGAGUUGUAAUUUGUAGAGGAUGCUUCUGAGUGGCCACCGACCUAAGUUCCUUGGAACAGGACGUCAUAGAGGGUGAGAAUCCCGUAUGCGGUCGGAAAGGCGCUCUAUACGUAGCUCCUUCGACGAGUCGAGUUGUUUGGGAAUGCAGCUCUAAAUGGGAGGUAAAUUUCUUCUAAAGCUAAAUAUUGGCCAGAGACCGAUAGCGCACAAGUAGAGUGAUCGAAAGAUGAAAAGCACUUUGGAAAGAGAGUUAAAAAGCACGUGAAAUUGUUAAAAGGGAAGGGAUUGCAACCAGACUUGCUCGCGGUGUUCCGCCGGUCUUCUGACCGGUCUACUCGCCGCGUUGCAGGCCAGCAUCGUCUGGUGCCGCUGGAUAAGACUUGAGGAAUGUAGCUCCCUCGGGAGUGUUAUAGCCUCUUGUGAUGCAGCGAGCGCCGGGCGAGGUCCGCGCUUCGGCUAGGAUGCUGGCGUAAUGGUCGUAAUCCGCCCGUCUUGAAACACGGACCAAGGAGUCUAACAUCUAUGCGAGUGUUCGGGUGUCAAACCCCUACGCGUAAUGAAAGUGAACGGAGGUGAGAACC